AGCUACAAAUCUUUGCAAAAGACAUAAAGGCAUAUAAUAUAUUUGCCUUUAUUAGUCGAGGCAUAGUGUUUAAAACCAGGGAGGUUAUGCUGGAACUGUAGAAAAUGUUGGUUGAUCACACCCAGAGUAUCGUGCAAAGUUCUGGUAUCCACAUUAAGUGCAGAAGAGAUUUACCAGGAUGUUGCCUGGAUUGGAGAAUUUGUUGUGAAGAGAGAUUGGAUAGGUUGGGAUUGUUUUAUUUACAGCAGAGGAGAUUGACAAGGAACAUUAUUGAGAUGUAUUACAUUGAGUGCAUAGAUACGGUCAACAGGGAGAAAGUCUUCCCCUUGAUGGAGGGAUCUAGGGGCAUGGAUUUAAGAUAAGGGGUGGACAGUUUAGAGGAGAGAUGUGAGGAAAAUCUUUUACACCCAGAGGGUGGUUGAAUCUGAAACUCACUGCCUGAAAGGGUGGUAGAGGUAGAAACACUCAUAACAUUUAAGAAGUAUUUAGAUGCCAAGGCAGAGAAGGCUAUGGGCCAAGUGUUGGAAAAUGGGAUAAAAAUAGUUAAAAACCAAACGAACUGCAGACGCUGCAAAUCAGAAAUUGCUGGAAAAGCUCAGCAGGUCUGGCAGCAUCUGUGAAGAGAAAUCAGAGUUAAUGUUUCAGGUUUCCUCAGAACUGUUCUGAGGAAGGGUCACCGGACCCGAAACGUUAACUCUGAUUUCUCUUCACAGAUGCUGCCAAACCUGAGAUUUUCCAGCAAUUUUGGAUUAAAAUAGUUGUUUUUGACCAGUGUGAACACAAUGGACCUUUCUCUGUGCUGUAGUUCUCUGUAACUCAAUGACCAUUUUCUAGGACAUCCGAUUUCCUGAUAAUUCUUUGCCCCACACUCACGCUGACCCUGGAAUUCUAUACUGUUCCAGUGAAGCAUAACAUAAGCUCGAGGAUCAGUACCUCAUUUGUUAAUGAGAUGCUUCGGAGCUUGCCAGAGUCAACAUUGAGUUAGAUCAUAACCUCCCUGCCCCCCAAAUUUUUCAAAAGCUUUUGGAUCCAUUAAUUGUCCAUUUAUUUACAUCUCUGCAAGAUGCAUCUUUCUGUUUCUUUCUAAUUACAUUACCAUCUCCCUUUUGCCUGGCACCACACUGUUAUUUGAGCUUGCCUUCUACCACACUAUCACAGACCUUCCCUUUUAAUUCCCUACCCAAGUCAGCUGUGCCGCCCCACUCCUCACUUUCCAUGCCUGUGCACUUGCCUCACUCCUGUAACAUGACUGUAUUUUUUCAGUUCUAGCAAUAUGUCAUUGACCUAAAACACUAAUUCUGUUUUUCUCUUUUUACAGGUGAAUGGAGGAGAUUUUGUGUGUUUCCUUUACUGGAGUAGAUAUUUGUUGCGAAGUGCUUAGUUCAAAGAAAAUCAGAAAUCCUUUUGAAAAUAUUAGGUCCCUUUUGUGAUGGUGUCAUUUUGCUAUUCCCUCUCUUCUUCGUACAAAUUAUUCAACAAUUCCAGGACCUGUUCCUUCCUUUUUAAUGAAAAGAAUGUUGCUAAUUUUUGACCCUUGUUUAUAUAUUAAUGGUUAGAAAUAUUGGUGGAAAAGGAUUGUAAGAUCUUACUGGUGAGAAAAUCUGCCAUUUCCUCUGAGUUUUCAUUUCUUUAAAUAGAAACCUUACUCCUGCCGCCUGUUCUUACCUCCUCCCCUUCUUCUCUCUCUCUCUCUCUCUUCCCACCACUCCCCCCCGCUCCCCCACCACCAAAAAAAAACAAUCUUCCCUUGUCACAUGUCAAUCUCUCGUCAACCAGUUGCUACUUUUCCGUUGAGAAUAUGAUCUUUUAUUUUGGGAAUCCAUGACACCUUACCAGUCUGGAACAAUUCAUUGUUUUGUGCAGAGAAAUAAUACAAACAGAUUUUUCUGCUAAUAGGGACAUAGAUUAUAAAAGCAAGGAAAUAAUGUUGCAUUUGUAUAGACAUUGGUCUGGCCUCAUUGAUGUAGUGUCUCUAGUUAUGAGUGCUACAUUUUGAGAGCUAUAUUUUAAGAAGGCUAUGAAGGCAUUGGCAUGUGCGUAUAAAGAUUCACAAGAAUAGUUUCAGGGAUGGGAAUCUUCAAUUACACAGAUUGGAGAAACUGUGACUAUUUUAAUUGGAGAAGGGAGUGUUGAAAAGAAAUUUGAUAAAGGUGUUCAAAAUCAUGAGUGGCCUGGACAGAAUGGAAAGGAAAAAAACUGUUCCCAUAGAUGGGAGGACCAAGAACAAGAUUUCGGAUAAUUAGCAAAAGGUACAGUGACAACGUAAGACAGCAAUUGGUUAAGAUCUGCAUUGUACCACCUCAGAAUGAUUGGGGCCAAUUCAAUCAAGACGUUCAAGAGGAACUAGGUUGUUAUUGGAAAAGAAAAAUUGUUCAGGGAUACUGUGAGAAAGUGGGCAUAUGGCACUUGGUGAAUUGCUCUUACGGAUAGCCAGCACAGAUAGGAAUGGUGAAACAGUUUGCUCCUGUGCUUUAACAGUUCUGAGAUUCUGGAAUUGCUGUUGCUAAUAAUUCAGUGCUCACAACAUUUUGGUAACUGAAGGAGUUUCUUUAUUGUCUGGUAAAGCUUGUUGUCCAAUUUGGAUGGGAACCUUCCUGCUACUUUAAUACAAUUCCAUUUUGUCACGCCUGCAAACUGAAGAAGUUUAAAACUGAAAUGAACAGAGUGCAGUAAAUCAAAUAAAUUGAACAAAUUGUUAAAGAAAGGGUUAAUUUGUAAGGAAGGCAGAUAGUUUAAUUCUACAAUGGUUUUGAUUAUUUAUCAAGAAUCAAUUCACCAACACAGUCAUGCAAUACACUAUGACCAUUACUUUUCAAUAGAAAACCUUGGAGAAGAUCUUUCUGUAAUACCUUACGUUUUUUCUCGUCAUUUUAAAAUCUAUGCUAUGUAUCUUAAGUUUACAUUUUUGAGUGAAUGUUUUAAAUGGGAAAGUGGUCUGUUUAGCAACUUAAGAAUUUCUAUUUAUUUUUACAGAACGUGUCUUUGAAGAGAAUUAAUUUGCAGGGUUAUGAUGAGGGUACGAGACAAAAUUAUACACUUCUUUCAAGAAGGCAGAGCGAAAGCUUUGAUGUCUGGAGUGUGGCGAUGGCAGGUGAGCCCGUAGCAAGACCUGGAAGACGGUAGCGAAGCGGCUGGUGAGCCAGGAGCGGGAUCUCAAGGAUGGCGGCAAGGCAAGGCAGUCGGCCAUCACGGAGUGGGACUCUGAUGGACAAUGGCGACAUUGAGUCCAGAGUGGGACUCUGGAAUCAGCGUCGAAGAGGCAGCUGGUGGAAGGGUGAGCACGGGGACCCGGUAUCGGCUGCUACAUUGGCAGAGACCGACGGCUUCGAUGUUGAGGUGAUUUCAGCCUGGCAUCUGGCGGCCCAGGAAUCCUUUGAGCCGCUUUUGCGACAUCUUCCUUCCUGGGAUCAGUGACGAGAUUGGUCUUUGACGCAGCUUCUGUGGACUCUUUCGGAAGGGGAUUCCGGCAGCCUGGUGUGGCGGUCUUAAAGUGGUACUGUCUUUUCCUGACCCCGGGAGCUGGGAAUUGAACUAAGAUGGACUUUGUCUUAAUUUUUUUUAAUAAAAAUUUUCUUAUCUAUG